rnacentral:rRNA from 1 species
AGUGAACGCUGGCGGUAGGCCUAACACAUGCAAGUCGAACGGCAGCACAGUAAGAGCUUGCCCCUACGGGUGGCGAGUGGCGGACGGGUGAGGAAUACAUCGGAAUCUACUUUUUCGUGGGGGAUAACGUAGGGAAACUUACGCUAAUACAGCAUACGACCUACGGGUGAAAGCAGGGGAUCUUCGGACCUUUCGCGUUUGAUUGAGCCGUUGGCGGAUUAGCUAGUUGGCGGGGUAAAGGCCCACCAAGGCGACGAUACGUAGCUGGUCUGACAGGAUGAUCAGCCACACUGGAACUGAGACACGGUCCAGACUCCUACGGGAGGCAGCAGUGGGGAAUAUUGGACAAUGGGCGCAAGCCUGAUCCAGCCAUACCGCGUGGGUGAAGAAGGCCUUCGGGUUGUAAAGCCCUUUUGUUGGGAAAGAAAAGCAGCAGGUUAAUACCCCGCUGUUCUGACGGUACCCAAAGAAUAAGCACCGGCUAACUUCGUG